CCUACGGGAGGCAGCAGUGGGGAAUAUUGGACAAUGGGGGCAACCCUGAUCCAGCCAUGCCGCGUGUGUGAAGAAGGCCCUCGGGUUGUAAAGCACUUUCAGUGAGGAAGAACGCCUGGUGGUUAAUACCCAUCAGGAAAGACAUCACUCACAGAAGAAGCACCGGCUAACUCCGUGCCAGCAGCCGCGGUAAUACGGAGGGUGCGAGCGUUAAUCGGAAUUACUGGGCGUAAAGCGCGCGUAGGUGGCUUGAUAAGCCGGUUGUGAAAGCCCCGGGCUCAACCUGGGAACGGCAUCCGGAACUGUCAAGCUAGAGUGCAGGAGAGGAAGGUAGAAUUCCCGGUGUAGCGGUGAAAUGCGUAGAGAUCGGGAGGAAUACCAGUGGCGAAGGCGGCCUUCUGGACUGACACUGACGCUGAGGUGCGAAAGCGUGGGUAGCAAACAGGAUUAGAUACCCCUGUAGUC
rnacentral:rRNA from 1 species